rnacentral:lncRNA from 1 species
UAGUUCUUGUGCUGAUGUGGAAUAUGAAAGGUUUGAUUAUGAAAGUUUAUUCAGGAAAAAUUAUCUGUAGGACAACUUUGAUGCUAUUGAAGAUGAAAGCCAUGCAGGAAAGGACAGAGUUAAUAUUCUAAAACAAUAAUGAACUAAAUCCAGGUAACAUCAUAAACACUUUAAAAGCAUCUCCUUUAAUUUGCACAGCCCCAUAAGACAAUCUUUACUAUCAUUCAGAUUUUACAGAUGAGAAAAUAAAGUCUCUGCAAACUUCAAAAACUUGCUGAAUUUCAGUUAGUGAGAAGCAGAACUGGGAUAAGGACCCGAGAUUAUCUGACUCCAAAGCAUCUGCUCUAAACUAUUUCUUAGGUGGGUUUCUAUGCAUUUUCCCUGUAAAGGCAAUGUUUUCCAAACUGUGAUUCACCAGCUCAGGGGGGCCAUAGGAAAAUUUUGAAUGACCUUGCCAUUAUUUUUCUAAAUCUGUAUGUAAAGUUGAAAACAAAGCCUUUUCAACUCUCACAUCUCAUAAUCCUACCUAUGAUUCUAAGAAUUAAGUAAUGUGCCUUCCCUCAGGGGACCCAAGACCGUAAUGUUAGCUGAGGGAGAAGGAAUGUAGAUGAGUGAACUUUCAAACUGACUAACUUAAAGGUAGCAGCAAUCAGAUGUGAAAACUUGAAAAGUGCCCGAGAAUCAACUGUAUGGACCUUGUCAGUCUAUGUAAACUUUGCACAAUGAAUAUGCGAAUUUCUUACAUAUUCUCAUGCUUAUAUACUUCUAACAGACCUGGAUAUGGCCUCCUGGGAAAAUGCUGGCCUAAGCCUUUCUGCAAAAGUCACCUAUGAGACCAAGAAUUUCCACUGUUUCUGUCCAAAGCAUGGGAUUAAUUAAAGAAAUUCUCACUCCUUGUUUUUUGCUUGAGAAAUUAAUUCUUCCUAUGGGAAAUAUUUUUAAUGCCCUAAAACUAUCUGGACUUCAGGAACUUGAGCUUUGUAUCGUAGCUGCCUUCUGCCCCUAAGGAAUAUAAUCUAUCUAAGCCAUUAAAUUGUUGUGAAUACCAAUAAUAGGACAUUUUUAUGGAGUUCAGGAUAUGAAGCAAAAGCUAUUAGACUGCUCUGUGUGUGUGUGUGUGUGUGUGUGUGUGUGUGUUUGCUCACAUUGAAAAACUAGUUAAACAUUUCAGAUCUCUUUAGAUUUAUACAGGGUUAUUUAUUACAAGGUUCCGAAACUUUCUAGAGGCAGCAAUCUUCUGGUGAUCUUUAUCAAGCUGUUCUUUAUCCUCCUACAGGGCUGCUUGUUUUGUUCUUUCUCCCCCACCCCAGCCCCUGCCCCCCCCCUCUCCUUCUCUUGUUCUUUUUUCUUGAAUUUGGCUUUAACAGGGAAAUAAAAUGUCAACUGUAUGUGAAAAAAAUCCAGUGGUAAAAUUUGCAAGUGGGAAUACAAUUUGAAAGCAAUGCCAAAGUUAUGUUAAGCAGCCAGGUUUUUUUUUAAAUUAAAUUUUUAAAAUUUCUCUGCUAAUUAGGCUGCACAUUUGAAAUCUUAAACAUGUGUAGAAUUGUGAGGGAUCUUGUCUGUUGAGAGGGGCUUAAUUCCAGCAGUGCUUGAUAGCUGAGUGUUGAGUUUUCCAAUGGUCACAAUAGACACCAUCAACACUCAUUAUUUUUUGAGUGCCUUUUUCUAAAUGGCAAUGUGGAAGGAAGAAUUAGAGAAAGUUAGAGCUGCCCUGAACUCAGAUAUCAUCUAUCCCAGGGGUUUUUCAUUUUUUUUUUUUAAGCCCAGGAAACAAAAUAAUAUCCAGAAGUCUGAUGUGUAAAGCAGAUAGACUCGAGCCUCUAUGUGUGUUGGGGUGUUUGUGAGUGUGGGUUCAUGAAUGCCUCAUACUUUUCUGUUAGGACAGAGCAUUGUCUGCCGGCAGUGGGUACACAAAAUUCUUAGGAUUAUAGAUUAAGAGUUCAUAAUCUCAGACUACUCUCCAAUUUUAUUGAGUCAGAACCCAAGUCCCAGAAAGUUGAACUGAAUUGUCCAAGGUCACACUGCUGGAAAGAUGUGGAGAAGGCACUUGACUGCAUUUUCUUAAUUCGAUCUUUCUGUCUCUCUUUCUCUUUCUCUCUUUCUAUCUCUU